GCGGGGGCGGAGCUCCGGGCGGUGGUCGUCGGCGAGCUGUGAUGCACAAAAAGGAAAGCGGACCGCGUCACGACGUGCGCAAGAGAGAGACGAACAAGAGAGGGCAAGCAGCUUCGAGAAUAGCUCACCGAGCUCGUCGGCGGUGGCCCAAAAACGCGGCGGUGUCCGUGCUGCUCCGGCGAGGAAUUGGGCGGCUCCAUUUGGCCUGGCCGGUCCGGUUUUCUUCCUUUUUUUUUCUUUUAGCCUUUUCUUUUUCCCUUUUUCUCAUUUCUUUGAUAUCUUUUGAUUUUGAACUGCAAAUUGGUUCAAAUAAAUUCCAGAAAAUUUGUAAAAUCAUGUUUUAUCAUGAUUCAACUUUUGGGAGUAAUUUCCCCUCAAAAUAAAAUAUAUAAAAAUACAUUUGUCCUAUAAAUGCCUUUAGGGCUAUAUAACUAUUUAAAUAAAAUAGUUUUUCAACACCAAAUUAUUAUCCAAAAAUUAUGGAAUAAACCCCUUAACCCUAUUGGUUUGAAGAUCCAAAGCUCAAAUGGGUGUCAACCCUAGGGUUUAAAUUGAAAUAAAAUCUUUUAAAGCCUUUUUGAGAUUCAAAUUUGAAUUCAAAAGUGCAAUUAUGGCAUGAUGCUCAUGGACGCAAUGCACAUGUAAGAAAUUGAAUUUUUGGGAUGUUACAGUUUGU
rnacentral:lncRNA from 1 species